rnacentral:lncRNA from 1 species
UUGGUGGCAUUGCAGAUGGAUGGGCUGAGACUUGAGAAGGUAUAUUGAAAUGAUUGUGUACUCCUUGAGAAGGCAUCAUGCCUGAAGGAGGUAAUUGAUUGUGUACUCCAUGAGAAGGCAUCAUGCCUGAAGGAGGUAAUGCACCUUGUGGAGGAGCCAUGGAAGGGAACAUAUUUUCCUGUAUCAUAUUCAGAAUUAUCAACAUGUAAUCACUAGACUAUUGUAUAUGUACUUUGGUAAGUCAGGUUGUUCGAUUGUAUAUGUUGACCGAGUAAAGUGAAAGGGUAUAACUAAUUAACUCAUUAAGAGCUUAAGUCAACAUCAGCUCAGCUGCCAAGUAGCAAUUUCGCUAAAAACUAAUUUCCAAAACAUGCUUACUUUC